UGGGCACAGGGACACAUUUGAAGUCUCGGAGCCGGGUGUUGGUUCCGGUAGCGAUCGAGGGAAGUUAGUACCGAAGUCCGGGAUGGAAGAUGGCGAGAAAAGCUGUGUGUAUUUCUGCGGUGCCCGUACCGCAAACCGACACAGGUAGGUAGGAAGAAGAUUCUAAGGCCAACGGGAGAAGGGUUGUUAAGGAACUCGGCAAAUUGACCCCGUAACUUCGGGAGAAGGGGUGCUCCAGAGAUGGAGCCGCAGAGAAUCGGCCCAAGCAACUGUUUACCAAAAACACAGGUUUGUGCUAAAUCGAAAGAUGACGUAUACGAGCUGACGCCUGCCCGGUGCUGGAAGGUUAAGAGGAGAUGUGCAAGCAUUGAAUCGAAGCCCCAGUGAACGGCGGCCGUAACGAUAACGGUCCUAAGGUAGCGAAAUUCCUUGUCAGGUAAGUUCUGACCCGCAUGAAAGGCGUAAUGAUUUGGGCACUGUCUCGACAGCCCGCCCGGCGAAAUUGUAGUACCAGUGAAGAUGCCGGUUACCCGCGACAAGACGGAAAGACCCCAUGGAGCUUUACUGUAGCCUAAUAUUGGGUUUCGAUGUUGCAUGCACAGGAUAGAUGGGACACAGGGAAACAAGUGCUUUGGCAUUUGUGGAGUGGCCGUUGGGAUACCAUCCUUGCGAUAUUGGAAUUCUAACCUGCGCCUUUUAAUCAAGGCGGUGGACAUUGUUAGGUGGGCAGUUUGACUGGGGCGGUCGCCUCCUAAAGAGUAACGGAGGCGUUCAAAGGUUCGCUCAGCUUGAACGGAAAUCAAGCAAAAGAGUGCAAACGCAGAAGCGAGCCUAACUGCGAGACUGACGGGUCGAGCAGUAACGAAAGUUGGAGUUAGUGAUCCGGUGGUAUGUGAGUGGAAAUGCCAUCGCUCAACGGAUAAAAGUUACCCUGGGGAUAACAGGCUGAUCUCCCCCAAGAGUCCACAUCGACGGGGAGGUUUGGCACCUCGAUGUCGGCUCAUCGCAUCCUGGGGCUGUAUUCGGUCCCAAGGGUUUGGCUGUUCGCCAAUUAAAGCGGUACGCGAGCUGGGUUCAGAACGUCGUGAGACAGUUCGGUCCCUAUCUGUCGUGGGCGCAGGAUAUUUGAUGGGAGCUGUUCCUAGUACGAGAGGACCGGAGCGGACGUACCUCUGGCGCACCAGUUGUUCUGCCAAGGGCAUAGCUGGGCAACUAUGUACGGAUCGGAUAAACGCUGAAAGCAUCUAAGCGUGAAGCCGACCCAAAGAUAAGAUAUCCCAUUGUUUCAAACAAGUAAGACCCCUUGAAGACUACAAGGUUGAUAGGCAUGAUGUGUAAGUGGAGUGAUCCAUUCAGCAAGCGUGUACUAAUAGGUCGAGGGCUUGACC
rnacentral:rRNA from 1 species